AUGCCGGAUGUUCCACAUGAUCGCAUGUGAUUGUGGGAAAGAUUCUAUCGGCGUGGGAUGGGGUCGCGUCCUAUCAGCUUGUUGGUGAGGUAACGGCUCACCAAGGCUUCGACGGGUAGCCGGCCUGAGAGGGCGACCGGCCACAUUGGGACUGAGAUACGGCCCAGACUCCUACGGGAGGCAGCAGUGGGGAAUAUUGCACAAUGGGCGCAAGCCUGAUGCAGCGACGCCGCGUGAGGGAUGGAGGCCUUCGGGUUGUAAACCUCUUUUGUUUGGGAGCAAGCCUUCGGGUGAGUGUACCUUUCGAAUAAGCGCCGGCUAACUACGUGCCAGCAGCCGCGGUAAUACGUAGGGCGCAAGCGUUAUCCGGAUUUAUUGGGCGUAAAGGGCUCGUAGGCGGCUCGUCGCGUCCGGUGUGAAAGUCCAUCGCUUAACGGUGGAUCUGCGCCGGGUACGGGCGGGCUGGAGUGCGGUAGGGGAGACUGGAAUUCCCGGUGUAACGGUGGAAUGUGUAGA
rnacentral:rRNA from 1 species